rnacentral:rRNA from 1 species
GGAGGUAUCAGAAGUGCGAAUGCUGACAUAAGUAACGAUAAAGCGGGUGAAAAGCCCGCUCGCCGGAAGACCAAGGGUUCCUGUCCAACGUUAAUCGGGGCAGGGUGAGUCGACCCCUAAGGCGAGGCCGAAAGGCGUAGUCGAUGGGAAACGGGUUAAUAUUCCCGUACUUGGUGUUACUGCGAAGGGGGGACGGAGAAGGCUAUGUUGGCCGGGCGACGGUUGUCCCGGUUUAAGCGUGUAGGUGUGUGUUCCAGGUAAAUCCGGUUCACUUUAACACUGAGGCGUGAUGACGAGGCACUACGGUGCUGAAGCAACAAAUGCCCUGCUUCCAGGAAAAGCCUCUAAGCAUCAGGUAACAUCAAAUCGUACCCCAAACCGACACAGGUGGUCAGGUAGAGAAUACCAAGGCGCUUGAGAGAACUCGGGUGAAGGAACUAGGCAAAAUGGUGCCGUAACUUCGGGAGAAGGCACGCUGACACGUAGGUGAAGUGAUUUACUCACGGAGCUGAAGUCAGUCGAAGAUACCAGCUGGCUGCAACUGUUUAUUAAAAACACAGCACUGUGCAAACACGAAAGUGGACGUAUACGGUGUGACGCCUGCCCGGUGCCGGAAGGUUAAUUGAUGGGGUCAGCGCAAGCGAAGCUCCUGAUCGAAGCCCCGGUAAACGGCGGCCGUAACUAUAACGGUCCUAAGGUAGCGAAAUUCCUUGUCGGGUAAGUUCCGACCUGCACGAAUGGCGUAAUGAUGGCCAGGCUGUCUCCACCCGAGACUCAGUGAAAUUGAACUCGCUGUGAAGAUGCAGUGUACCCGCGGCAAGACGGAAAGACCCCGUGAACCUUUACUAUAGCUUGACACUGAACAUUGAGCCUUGAUGUGUAGGAUAGGUGGGAGGCUUUGAAGUGUGGACGCCAGUCUGCAUGGAGCCGACCUUGAAAUACCACCCUUUAAUGUUUGAUGUUCUAACGUGGACCCGUAAUCCGGGUUGCGGACAGUGUCUGGUGGGUAGUUUGACUGGGGCGGUCUCCUCCUAAAGAGUAACGGAGGAGCACGAAGGUUGGCUAAUCCUGGUCGGACAUCAGGAGGUUAGUGCAAUGGCAUAAGCCAGCUUGACUGCGAGCGUGACGGCGCGAGCAGGUGCGAAAGCAGGUCAUAGUGAUCCGGUGGUUCUGAAUGGAAGGGCCAUCGCUCAACGGAUAAAAGGUACUCCGGGGAUAACAGGCUGAUACCGCCCAAGAGUUCAUAUCGACGGCGGUGUUUGGCACCUCGAUGUCGGCUCAUCACAUCCUGGGGCUGAAGUAGGUCCCAAGGGUAUGGCUGUUCGCCAUUUAAAGUGGUACGCGAGCUGGGUUUAGAACGUCGUGAGACAGUUCGGUCCCUAUCUGCCGUGGGCGCUGGAGAACUGAGGGGGGCUGCUCCUAGUACGAGAGGACCGGAGUGGACGCAUCACUGGUGUUCGGGUUGUCAUGCCAAUGGCACUGCCCGGUAGCUAAAUGCGGAAGAGAUAAGUGCUGAAAGCAUCUAAGCACGAAACUUGCCCCGA